CUUGCUGCUCCCCACAAUGCCUGUCCUGACCUGUUGGAGGGAUGGAGAGAAAAGCAGAAAUCCUGGAUUAAAAAUCACUGCUUUAGUUUUAAUGCAAAUAUUCUGUGUUACAGCAUCCAGGCUGGAAUUGGCUGUAAGAGCUGAUUUAGUCACCCAAGCCCACAUUCAUGAUUCAGGUUUUUUCUUUAUCUCCAGUAAAAAGAAAUAAGCAGCUCAACAGACUUGUGCAUCCCUUCAGGAUACGGUUCCAAGCAGGUUAUUUUUUUCUGGAAAUAGCCAUUGCUUAGCAUUUCAAGAUAAUAGGAAGCAUGAUUACCAUCAAAAGGAAAAAACACCCUCAGACACCAGCCAUGCUAAGCAGCUGCAGUAGUGAACCUUGGGAAAAACAUUUUGUGAAGAAGAACACUGAUCUGGAAACAAACUCUAUGUAUGCAGAUGUGCAUGGAUACAUUCUCUUCUAAAAAAGUCUUCAAGAUGGUCCCUGGUGCUGUGUGUGUUUCUCUCCUGCAGGAUUCCUCCUCCAGCCCCCAGCCCCAGCCAGGGCACAGCACAGCAGCACCUUCCAUUCC